GCCACUGUCGUCUAGGGGUGAGGACAUCAGUUUGUGGAUCUUCAAACGAGAACACUGGAAACCGAGGUUCGAGUCCUCGCAGCGGCA
rnacentral:tRNA from 2 species